rnacentral:rRNA from 1 species
CGAACGGGUGAGUAAUGCGUGACCAACCUGCCCCAUGCUCCAGAAUAGCUCUUGGAAACGGGUGGUAAUGCUGGAUGCUCCAACUUGACGCAUGUCUUGUUGGGAAAGUGUUUAGUGGCAUGGGAUGGGGUCGCGUCCUAUCAGCUUGUAGGCGGGGUAAUGGCCCACCUAGGCUUCGACGGGUAGCCGGCCUGAGAGGGCGGACGGCCACAUUGGGACUGAUAUACGGCCCAGACUCCUACGGGAGGCAGCAGGC